CUCUCCUGGAUUUUUGCCUCUCUAUAAAAACUUUAGAAUAAGUAUUUUGAUAUCAUAAAAUAACUUGGUGACAUGCUACUGAGUUAUUUGAGUUCUUUUUAUAUUCUAAAUAAUAGUCUCUUGUUAAGUAAAUUGGUUACAAAUAUUUUUUCCCAUUAGGUAGUUUGUCUCUUUGCUCUGUUGAUUGUUUCCUUAGCUGUACAGAAGCUUUUAGUACAAUAUAGUCCCAUCUGUCUACUUUUAGUUUUGUUGUCUGUGCUUUUGAUGCGUUAGCCAUAAAAUAUUUGCCUAGACCAAUGCUAUGAAGUGCUUUUUCUAUGUUUUCAUCUGGUAGUUUUAUAAUUUUGGUAUUGGAUUCAGUUUGUUAGUAUUUUUUUUGAGGAUUUUUACGCCUAUUUUUAUCAAGGAAAUCUGGCUAUAGUUUUAGUUUUUUUGCAUUCUUGUCUGGUAUUGGUAUCGGUAUCACAGUAAUGCUGGCCUCAUGGAAUGAAUGUGCUUAAAAUAAAGAUCUUCAAAUAGGGAGAGUGACUUUGAUCAUCUUGGUAGUCCCUACAUCCAAUCACAUGUACCUUUAAAAGACAGAGGCAUAGAAAGACUUGACACAUAUAAAAGGAGAGGAUUUGUUUAUUAUCUUCAGGAAAUCAGAUUUCUCCCCCUCUGGCAAAAGAAAAGGCAAGCCCUCUAGCUGGCUCAAUAAACCUCAAUUGAUUGGGACAACUGCCUCGGUCACUCAAUUUGGUUGUCGAAUUGAUACCACUACACCCUUACCAGGUAAUUAAAAAGGCUGAAAUCAUCGAACAUGUUGAGAAUUGAAA
rnacentral:lncRNA from 1 species